UGCAAGUCGAGCGCCCCGCAAGGGGAGCGGCAGACGGGUGAGUAACGCGUGGGAAUCUACCGAGCCCUACGGAAUAACGCAUGGAAACGUGUGCUAAUACCGUAUACGCCCUACGGGGGAAAGAUUUAUCGGGGUUUGAUGAGCCCGCGUUGGAUUAGCUAGUUGGUGGGGUAAAGGCCUACCAAGGCGACGAUCCAUAGCUGGUCUGAGAGGAUGAUCAGCCACAUUGGGACUGAGACACGGCCCAAACUCCUACGGGAGGCAGCAGUGGGGAAUAUUGGACAAUGGGCGCAAGCCUGAUCCAGCCAUGCCGCGUGAGUGAUGAAGGUCUUAGGAUUGUAAAGCUCUUUCACCGGAGAAGAUAAUGACGGUAUCCGGAGAAGAAGCCCCGGCUAACUUCGUGCCAGCAGCCGCGGUAAUACGAAGGGGGCUAGCGUUGUUCGGAAUUACUGGGCGUAAAGCGCACGUAGGCGGAUAUUUAAGUCAGGGGUGAAAUCCCAGAGCUCAACUCUGGAACUGCCUUUGAUACUGGGUAUCUAGAGUAUGGAAGAGGUGAGUGGAAUUCCGAGUGUAGAGGUGAAAUUCGUAGAUAUUCGGAGGAACACCAGUGGCGAAGGCGGCUCACUGGUCCAUUACUGACGCUGAGGUGCGAAAGCGUGGGGAGCAAACAGGAUUAGAUACCCUG
rnacentral:rRNA from 1 species